UGGCUCGGUUUUUAAAGUAUGAAAUAGAAGCAAAGAGAACAGCUGCAAUGGCAUCAGUACCAGAGAAGGAACAUGGGGGUGGGAGGUGCAGUCAGGAGAAGCGCGAGUUACACAGGGAGGUGAGUGUUCAGCAGUAGAAUGAAGAAUUCUGCAUCUUUUCAAAGCCAGGCAGUUACCUCCAUGUUUAUACAGACUCCCAAAGACCACCCGGUCUGGGCAGUGGGAGCAAAGACGAAGCCGGAAGCCAACAGAGGCCUCAAGGCCAGCAGCUCAAUUCAGAGUAUUCAUUCCUCUCUCUUUCCCAGCCUCCAGGGUCCAAUUCCACUCCUACUGUGGAGUCCAUCCCUUCAAGGAAGCGGACAAGGGGCAGGAGCAGAGGAAAGAUGCAAGAACGGAACUCUUCUCGCUUCCCUGUCCUGUGAGCAUUUCCUCAGCAAAUGCUCCCUAUACCCUGUGCGACAUCCUCCUAAACUCACACUUUGGGGAAGAGGCCAGACUGCUGGUCAGUCAGUACUAAGAACCCAUCUGGUUUCUGGAGGGAGUGCUCAGCCCCGGGCCCUGAGCUUAGCUUAGCACUCUUACCUCAUCCCCUCAUUAGAGAGCCCUCUUAAGGUGGGAAUUACCAUUCCUCAUUUACAGAAGAGGAAAAGAUUUCAGGCCAGGAGGCCUGUUCAAACCACAGGGUUCUUAAAUGGCAGAGUUGGGAACUGGCAUCAAAGUCCUUUGUUACCCAACCCCACCACAAUUCGCUCCAGGGGGCAGGGCCUGCCUCCCCUCAGAGGCCUUGUCCAGGGCAGGCCAGAGCAGACGCCCUGUCGCCCUGUCGCCCUGUCGCCAGGCCUGGCCUCUCUCUGUGGCAGUGUGGGCUGCUGUGACCCUGUUUCUGGAGGCUGUCAUGUUUCCCGCAGGGGAGCAGCCGGUCCCUCUUGAGAGCCGAGCCCAGAGGCUAAUCACCGGGGCAGGCCUGACUCCUCACCAGAGGUGUGAACAUGCCUGGGUGUUGGGGCUGGAAUGAAGCUGCUUUAAUGGACAAGUUGGAAUCCGUUUGUGAGCAGUAAAUUGCCCCAGUCCCCAGGGCCAUUUUCCAUCAUAAAUUUAAACUAUUUGACUUUGCAGAGCCCUAAGUGUUGAAGCCGUAGCUGGGGCAUCAAGGAAGCUAAUAGAACCUGUGGGGCACUAGGGCCCAACCCCAACAGAAACCCCAAGCCCUCGGCUUCUCCUGCCUUCUUACCCAAAGCUCCUUGUAUGAACUGCCUCCCCAUGUCUGGACCAUUCCUCUGGCUGCUUCAUGUCUCUCACAGCUCAUUGCGUUACCUCCCCAAGGAUCUACUCAAAAGUCUGUCUCCUGAGGGUGUGACCUGCACCAGUGGUUUAAGAGGUCCCACUACAUGACUGCACAGUUGCAUCUCUAAGUGGGAAUCAAAGGAUGUCUAUGAGUGAGACUCUUACCAGGAUCACGUGGAUUCCUAUGUGAAAAUCAGUAAAAAUGGCUCCUGGUUCCAGAAGAAGCCAGAGAAAGCUAUUGGAUCUCCUGGAGCUGGGCUUAACAGAGAGUUGUGAUCCUCCUAUGUAGUGCUGGGAACCAACUUCAGGUCCCCCAGAGUGCGCUUAACCUCUGAGCCUCCCGCCCAGCAUCACUACGGCCUAGGUUAAUCUGUUCUUGUUAGCUAGAAUGGACCCUGUAGGGUCUGCUCUAGCCUGGCUGGCCUCAUACUCCUCUUGGCUCAGUCUUAGAGUCGUUUCCCAGCUCGGGCUGGAAAACACAGCUGGCCUUUCAGAAACUGACUCAACAUCCAUCUUAAGAUUCAGCCCCAGCUCUAGGCAGCCAGUCCCAAGGAGCCAGUGAAGACCACAGAGGUCCUGUCUCUGUUCAGGAAGAUUCGUUGUUAAUCUAAGAUAACCAGACCAGAAACUCUGCAAAAUGCAAACGCAGGCACUUUCAAGCACAGCCUCACGGUUUCAGUCCCCAUGGCCUCGUUCCGCCAAACACAGUAAUGGCCAGAUGGAAGAAAUUCAUCUCAGCAGGAACAUAUGUUUCCCUCUGCGACUUCUCCCAGGGCCCAGGUCAACAGCCCUGAAGAAACUGCCUGGAACCAGGCUAGAGCAGGAAGCAGUCUUGGAGACUGGAGUCUGAACAGAGCAUUGUAAUCAUAGAGUCUGAACCUUGAACCCCAGGACGCAAAGGAAAUGUGGCUUGUUUAGGAGCCACAUUCUAGAUAAAUCCAGGAAAAAUAUUUGGCCUGGAUCUGAAUUUGAAUUGUGAUCGGGGGCCCAAACGCUCUUCAGUUUUUAAGGAGAUAGUAUUCAAAGUCCCAGCAUCCACCACGCUCCCAGCAUCCACCACGCUCCCAGCAUUCCCACCACGCUCCCAGCAUUCCCACCACCUUCCUGGCACUCACCUCAGGCUGAAUUCCUGCAUACCUGCCUCUGUCCCUCUAUGCUUUGGGCCACAGGAUAAAAUAAUGGAGGUGUGACUGGACACAUGGAUAGAAACAAUAAUCCAUUCUUUCGUAUUUUACUGAGACCCCUAAGCUUCUGCAUCCUGCCAGACUUAGUUAUUUCUCCCUCAGCACUUUGAAUCUAUCACCAGGAAUGGCCUCUGUGUCCGUACCCCAACCACAUCCUCCCCAGCUACAACGUGGAUCCCUACUGUCUUCCUUCCCUCCCUCCCCUGGAACACUCAGGAUCCUCUCCUUUGAGCUCUUUACUCUUGGUGACUGAACUACUAAUGUAGCAUCAAGUUCACAUUGAUGAAAAUGAGUAACAUUGUGACAUUGUCUAUUAUCUCGUACAUUUAUAAAGAAUCAUUUGACAAAAUUA